rnacentral:misc_RNA from 1 species
GGAAAAGAAAACACUCAAAAUAGCGCAAGAGGUUUGAUCCCAUGUAAGAGCAUGUUUUCCACUGUGCAAGCGAGAUCACAAGUAUUUUGCUCAACUAAUGCCAGUGAUGAUUCUUAUUUCCAAACCCUAUUAUAACCCAUGCAUGAAUAAUUUCAUUCGCUUUCUGCUAGAACUCUUAUAUCAUUCCAUAGUUUACUUUCUUUUCAAUGCCUCCUUACAAUACAAAA